ensembl:lncRNA
GGGACAUGGGGCAAUAUGUGAUUUGGAAUUAUAGAUCCAGAAUCUGGAAAAUCUACUGCUUGGUAAGGCUACUUGUUAAUUAAUUUUGUUGUCCUGUGGUUUAGAGGUCAGCUAUGGAUACUCGGCUGCGAGAAUUUUUGAUGGAGCGCAAACUUGAAGAAGAUGUGAUCCAGAAACUUGAAGAUGAGAAUAUGCACAAUGAGGGACGUCUGCAGAGACUGAGAAAGAGUCUCACCACAUCCUGACAUGAGGAAAAAGACUUUAUUGAAGACUACAAUGAGAAAAACUAUCAGACAGCAGACGGCUGCAUUCAAGUCUGUAGCUGCUGAAUUCAUGGAUGAAUCAUCUGGCACUAGAGAGGAAGACCAUCAAACAUCCACGUCAGCUGAUGGAGGUCCAAGAGUCUCACCAAACAAACAACCUACAGAGUGAAGACCUCCAAUCUGAUUGGACGGCCUCCUAUUCAGCCACAUGUGUGAACAAAUGCCUCUAAGUUGAUUUGUUUUCUAAAAUAAAUCUAGUUUGAGUCCUAAUCUAUGCCUGUGUGUUUGCUUCUUUACACUGCUGUUAACAGUUUAGGCUGUUAGAUUGUUCCAGAUAAGACAAGUACAAGAUUCUUCAGAGCCGUUCUACCACGAGCCUGACAGGAAGAACUCCAACAGCUACUGAAUGUUCCUGUGGUUCCCUCAAGGCUACAGGAGGAGUCCUACGAGGACGAGCCGGUCCACCUGAUGGUGGCCAGUCGCUGCGGUUCAAAGCCAACACCGA